rnacentral:ncRNA from 2 species
GCUUUGAUCAUGGGAAUGCUGUGUAAAUCAGCCACUGUGCCGCAACGGUAAUAGUCCGAGACCAUUCAAAGC